rnacentral:rRNA from 1 species
GACGAACGCUGGCGGCGUGCUUAACACAUGCAAGUCGAGCGGUAAGGCCCUUUCGGGGGUACACGAGCGGCGAACGGGUGAGUAACACGUGGGUGACCUGCCCUCAGCUCUGGGAUAAGCCUGGGAAACUGGGUCUAAUACUGGAUAUGACUCCACGGUGCAUGUCGUGGGGUGGAAAGCCUUGUGCGGCUGAGGAUGGGCCCGCGGCCUAUCAGCUUGUUGGUGGGGUGANGGCCUACCAAGGCGACGACGGGUAGCCGGCCUGAGAGGGCGACCGGCCACACUGGGACUGAGACACGGCCCAGACUCCUACGGGAGGCAGCAGUGGGGAAUAUUGGACAAUGGGCGCAAGCCUGAUCCAGCGAUGCCGCGUGUGUGAAGAAGGCCUGCGGGUUGUAAAGCACUUUCAGUAAGGGAAGAAAACCCGAGUGCUAAUAUCACUCGUCUUGACGUUACUUACAGAAGAAGCACCGGCUAACU